AUGAACGCUGGCGGCGUGCCUAAUACAUGCAAGUCGAGCGAACAGACGAGGAGCUUGCUCCUCUGACGUUAGCGGCGGACGGGUGAGUAACACGUGGAUAACCUACCUAUAAGACUGGGAUAACUUCGGGAAACCGGAGCUAAUACCGGAUAAUAUAUUGAACCGCAUGGUUCAAUAGUGAAGGACGGUUUUGCUGUCACUUAUAGAUGGAUCCGCGCCGCAUUAGCUAGUUGGUAAGGUAACGGCUUACCAAGGCGACGAUGCGUAGCCGACCUGAGAGGGUGAUCGGCCACACUGGAACUGAGACACGGUCCAGACUCCUACGGGAGGCAGCAGUAGGGAAUCUUCCGCAAUGGGCAAAAGCCUGACGGAGCAACGCCGCGUGAGUGAUGAAGGUCUUCGGAUCGUAAAACUCUGUUAUUAGGGAAGAACAAAUGUGUAAGUAACUAUGCACGUCUUGACGGUACCUAAUCAGAAAGCCACGGCUAACUACGUG
rnacentral:rRNA from 1 species